AGAGUUUGAUCCUGGCUCAGGAUGAACGCUGGCGGUCUGCUUAACACAUGCAAGUCGAACGCAACCUUUCGGGGUUGAGUGGCGGACGGGUGAGUAACGCGUGAGAAUCUGCCUUUAGGUCCGGGACAACCACUGGAAACGGUGGCUAAUACCGGAUGUGCCGCAACGUGAAAGGGGAAACCCGCCUGAAGAUGAGCUCGCGUCUGAUUAGCUAGUUGGUGAGGUAAAGGCUCACCAAGGCGACGAUCAGUAGCUGGUCUGAGAGGAUGACCAGCCACACUGGGACUGAGACACGGCCCAGACUCCUACGGGAGGCAGCAGUGGGGAAUUUUCCGCAAUGGGCGAAAGCCUGACGGAGCAAGACCGCGUGAGGGAAGAAGGCUCUUGGGUCGUAAACCUCUUUUGUCAGGGAAGAACACAAUGACGGUACCUGACGAAUCAGCCUCGGCUAACUCCGUGCCAGCAGCCGCGGUAAUACGGAGGAGGCAAGCGUUAUCCGGAAUUAUUGGGCGUAAAGCGUCCGUAGGUGGCUAGUCAAGUCUGCGGUCAAAGACUGGGGCUUAACCCUGGAAAGGCCGUGGAAACUGACGAGCUAGAGUGCAGUAGGGGUAGAGGGAAUUCCCGGUGUAGCGGUGAAAUGCGUAGAGCUCGGGAAGAACAUCGGUGGCGAAAGCGCUCUACUGGACUGCAACUGACACUCAGGGACGAAAGCUAGGGGAGCGAAUGGGAUUAGAUACCCCGGUAGUCC
rnacentral:rRNA from 1 species